CCAGGGGAGACGGCGUUUGGGUUUUUGACGCGCCCUGGAUCGAACUCUGCAGUCCAGCCUGCGCUUUUCCAGAUGCUUUUGCAGGCCAGAGGCCUCACCAGUCUCUCAGGAGUGGUUAGCGAGCCCAUCCCCCCCCCCCCCCAGCAGACCCACCCGAGCCCUGCGGACGACGCUCAGCUGUCCAAACACGCAGCGGCGCGUUCAGUCCCAGUGACUCGCGUGAUGAUUAACGAGCGGCUUGAUCAUUUAAUAUCGCGUGUGAUUAAAUUAUGAGGUGUGGGGGAGGGGAGCGCUGCACUCCCGGCCAACCGGGCGGAUGCCGCCAGCCGGCGGGUCUGGGCUGAGCGCACGGAGCCGGCUAGCUCGCUGUGCACUGCGCCUGGCGAGGCUUGAGCCGCGGUCCGCGCCUUCCCGAGGAUUCCAGGCCGAGGGGCUGUCACCGCGCUCUCCUCCGACGGACGCUAAUCAAGCGGAGGUGGAGAAAAAACCCAGCCAGGGGAUGUGCACCCGGGACCCCGCGCUUUUCGAUUUGCAGAAGAGCGCAGCGACAGCGCCCUCGACUCCAGGCGCCAACUCCGAGCUCGCGAGAUCACCAAGGCCCGGAUCCGCCUGCAAGCCAGUUUUAUUUGCCUCCAUCCGUCCCUUCUCCACGUAGUAUUCUUCCCCCGCCUCCCCCAGGUGUGCAGCCAAACCAACAAAUUCCUCCGCCCUCUGUUCCCCUCCCGCCUUCUCUCCUGCGCCAUGGGGUUAUAUCCUCCACGGACAUCCCUGCAAACUUGGAGAUUCAAUUAAAUAAUUCC
rnacentral:lncRNA from 1 species